GUCCAUGGCGGCACCUGACUUACGGGCGGAGCUGGACUCGCUGCUACUGGACCUUCUCGGGGACCUGGAAGAGCUGGAGACAAAGCGGGCGGCGCUGAACGCCCGCGUGGAGGAGGGCUGGCUCUCGCUCUCCAAAGCUCGCUACGCCAUGGGUGCCAAGUCGGUAGGGCCCCUGCAGUAUGCCUCCCGCAUGGAGCCCCAGGUCUGCGUCUGUACCAGCGAGGCGCAAAAUGGACUCCAGAAGUUUCGUGUGGUAAGAGCCGGCGCCCAGAGUCCAGAAGAGGUGGGGCCCCGUGAGGCAGCUUUGCGCAGGCGCAAGGGCCUCACCAGGAUUCCAGAGCCAGAGCCCUCAGCCCCCCAAAACCCUCUGAACUGGUUUGGAAUCCUGGUUCCUCACAGCCUGCGGCAGGCCCAAGCCAGCUUCCAGGAGGGCCUGCGGCUAGCUGCAGACAUGGCCAAUCUCCAGAUCCACAUCAAAUGGAGCCGAAGCCAGCUCCGGGAGCUCCAGGAGAAACUCAAGCAGCUCGAGGUUGGGGCCGCCUGACCUGUGGCCACAGAGGAAGGCCAUGAGUGUAGCUGUUCUUCAGUGUGGCUGCUUUAUCUCAGGCCUUCUUCCUUCACAGGCUCACAACUUUGUGUCUAUAACAACUUCAACGGACUACUCUAGGAAAAAUGCUUGACUCAAAAGAAUAUACAAUCUAAAUAAAGUUUUAAAAAAGUACUUAACUUCCCCCAACCUCCCAACUCCUGCAAGUUGUGGAGAUGAGUGAGAUCCUGCAACACUCCGGAAUCCUGGUCUUCAGGGUGCGCUGGAGGCUGGUUGCUGCAUCUGCACGCGAGUGGUUAUCUGAGCAGCAAGAUGGACUUAUGUGCUAGAAAGAAGUACAUGGGUGGCCAGGGGGAGACCAAGAGGCCAGAUACCAAGAGGCCCUAGCACUAGGGUGAGCUAAGAGAACUGGUUUCAGAACUGACCAGCUAAGCACUCAGAGCAGAGCAGAAGUGGAACCCUGAAGGCCUUGGCACAAGGCCCUCAUCCUAAGCCUCAUCUGUCACCUUGGUUGGACCAAAACAAACUUUUGACAGUCCUAAUCAUGGAGCUCUCAUCAUGUUCCUCAAUUUUAUUUUCUCCAUAGCAUACAUACAUUUGUAGCCGCAACAACUGCUCCUUCCUUUCCCACCUUUCUUGUUAUUUCUUUUUCCCCAGAAACUGAUUGGGCUAAUCAUGGUGCAGGCUGUGCAGUGAGAAGAUAUAUCUUACAGUUUUUGAAAUUUUGAAUCACUUGUAAAUAGAACGGACAUUGGAAGGGGCUUCUAAUUUACUCAUAGUUCCCCCUUUGAUACCCAGAUGGGGGGAAAUGCCAGCCCACAACUAACACAACAGCAUUGCCUUUGCAAGACUCUGCAUGCAGUGGUGCUAUGAGGGCCUACAUGAUGUCAAUGUCAAUGAAAGACAGGGAAAGGGGCAACAGUGCAGCCUGCCUACACUGGGACAUCCCACACAACCUGUGAGGCUCCUAGAAGAAAUCCUCUCAACCCCCUUGCUACAGGACUAGGCACAAGCAUUUCCAAAUGAGAAACCUCAGGAAGGUGGGCCUCCAGGACUACCAGAAUGACCCCUCAGUUAGAAUUUUAGGCUCUACUGGACAUGCUGUAAUGAAGUCAGGACCGGGCUUUAGGAGAAUAGUAUAAUUCUUUCACCCCCAAAACAGGCCUUUGUUUCAGAUGCAAAUCCAUAGUGAUGGCAAAGUAUUUCAAUCUUGGAAUACACAGCAGGUGUUGGAACAAGGCCAACGCAGAAAGAUGUAGCCAUCACAUAUCAACCCAAAAGUCUUUUCUUAUUCCUGUUUCAUGUGAAGUGCUUUAGUGCCUCAAUGAUGUUGUCAAGCCCUACAGAGCCCCUGGAAGCACUGAAAGCACCAAACAGUAGAUGCCUUACCCAAAGUCUGACAACGAUAAAAAGUUUUGAAAUGGCAAACAUGACUUCUUCACUGCUAUUAUCACCACCCGUGCUGUCUGGGCAACCCCAGAACUGUAAACGAAACAAGGCAUAAAGAAGAGCUUGAGAGUUCCUCCACAUGUUUCUUUGGUGGUUGUUCUGGAGUUCAGGAGAGAAAACUGAGGUUAAGCUGGUAUGCAUAACAGGAGUAGAUGCUAAAGAUCUUGAACACGUGAGUCCAGAACCAUGAUUUAUUAUUCUAGCUCUCAGUCCUAGAAUAGAUAGUAAAAUAUAACUUUAAGCUCUGCAUGUGAUUAAUUGAUUUAAAGGUGAAGUCUAUAACACCUUGAAAUUUUUGUAUCCUAUUUUCCCUUGGAACAUUUAAAACAUAAAUAAUAUGGGAGAUAAAGGUACUAUUAAUAGAAACUCUGAUUCAAUAGUCAGGAAAUUGUCUGAAUAUUUCUCUUUCCCUUAUUCUAGUAUUUUUGUAUAUAUAAACAUUCAUAUUGCCCAUAAUUUUUAAUAGUUUUUUAUAAAGAAACUGUAAGUUAUCUCUGAGCCUCCUGGUGGUGUUUCUUCAUUGUGUAUCUUUAUUUUGUUUGUAUUUUGGAAAAACUGCCUCAAGUUUUUAAGGCAGUGGAAUAUGACUCUCCAUUCAUAAAAUAAAAUCAUAUUUGAAAACUCAAAAAAAGUACUUAACUUUACCAAAUUGUUUUAUAAAUCUUCCUCUGUUACUUUAACAAUUCAAAAACUUCAAUUUAGAGAUAUAAUUUUUAAAAUUAGAGGCAGCCCAGCUGGG